UUCCUUAUAUCUUCCCUAGCCCUUCACAGGCUGAUUGUUUCUUGCUCUCUCUCUCUCUCUUGAUCUCUCUCGAUCUUGCGUUCCGGCGAUUGACCUCGGCGCCACCAGGGCCGACCUUCAAGCGGAGCUAGAUCGAGCCUGCAACGAUUGGGGUGCGUUUCACGUGACGAACCACGGUGUUCCGAUCCAAUUGCCGAACGAGAUGAGGAGAGUCGGUGUAUUGGUCUUCGAGGAGUGUCCAAUGGCUGAGAAGAUCAGGUACUCUUGUGAUUCCACUUCGUUUGCUUCUGAAGUCUAUGGAAGCCGUAUGUUGGUUUCAUCCAAUGAUACAGUGUUAGAAUAGACAGAUUACUUCGAUCAUCAUACCUCGCCUCUUUCUCGCUGGAAUCCCUAUCGCUGGCCUCACUUUCCUCCUAAUUAUAGGUGCUGCUGGUGGAAGGAAUGUGAGUGCUCGUAAGGAAAAUGGCUGCUGGUGGAGGGAAACAUUGUUCUCUGCAUUGAGAAGAGCAGGUGGCAAGGCUUUCAGUAACAUGGUUGUUGGAUACAACAAUGUUGAUGCCAAUGCUGCCACUAAGUAUGGUGUUGCUUUUGGCAACACACCUGUCUCUAAAGCUUGAUAUUGCGCCUGGACCAAUUGUGUCACCUGGUUCUUCUUAACCUUUAGUAUACAACAUCAGGAAUUCUACGGAUGCAUCAGGCUUUUCCUGGAAUGAUAAGAGAUCAAGACAAGGAAAGGAGUCAUCUAUUCUCACAAGGUCCUGCUUGAGUUUUUUGAGUGGGGACAGUGGUGCUCCUGGGGCUCUUUUGAGGAGGUUACACCUUUACAAUAUUGAAAGAAUGGAUAAUGCAUCACUUUGUGCAUCAUUGUCAAUCUGCCCUUCUUUUCUUGAUCUUGAGAUUGUUGGCUCAUGACUUUGAUGCGUGGCCUUCCAGAGAUAUUUUGGUGUAUGGAGAAGAAAUUAUACUUUUGUAUAGAAGUAAUAUAAUACUUUUGUAAAUGUCAUUUCACAUGGUAUAGUAAAUGUAAUUUUUGUAUAUGAAGGGCUUUACUUUUU